GAUGAACGCUGGCGGCGUGCCUAAUACAUGCAAGUCGAGCGAACAGACGAGGAGCUUGCUCCUCUGACGUUAGCGGCGGACGGGUGAGUAACACGUGGAUAACCUACCUAUAAGACUGGGAUAACUUCGGGAAACCGGAGCUAAUACCGGAUAAUAUAUUGAACCGCAUGGUUCAAUAGUGAAAGACGGUUUUGCUGUCACUUGUAGAUGGAUCCGCGCCGCAUUAGCUAGUUGGUAAGGUAACGGCUUACCAAGGCAACGAUGCGUAGCCGACCUGAGAGGGUGAUCAGCCACACUGGAACUGAGACACGGUCCAGACUCCUACGGGAGGCAGCAGUAGGGAAUCUUCCGCAAUGGGCGAAAGCCUGACGGAGCAACGCCGCGUGAGUGAUGAAGGUCUUCGGAUCGUAAAACUCUGUUAUUAGGGAAGAACAAAUGUGUAAGUAACUAUGCACGUCUUGACGGUACCUAAUCAGAAAGCCACGGCUAACUACGUG
rnacentral:rRNA from 1 species